rnacentral:lncRNA from 1 species
UUUUUUUUUUUUUUUCAUGCCUAUCAAGAUAUGCGAGAAAAUGAAUAUGACAUACCCAAUCACGAGUUGGAUUCUAAAUCAUAUUUUUUAGAAUGCGCUUGCGGCUCUUAAAGCUAUUGAUACUACAAGUUGCACAAGUGCUCAACUUGUAUAGAUUGAUACUAACACAUUUCGAACUUAGACAAUAUACAAAGAUGUUCUUGAAUCCUUGAAAAUCCUAAAACAUUUAUACUUAAUGUAGGUAAGUCUAAAUCGGUCACGCAGGCCAUGCCUUGACAACCAUUCACAAGCACUUACACGAACCUUCUUUAUAUACACGCAGCAAUCUAUGCCACACGAUGGGCUAUUGAGAAAGGGAAAAAAGAAUUCAUGCAGCAAAUGAUUGUGAGUAAAAGAUAUUAAAGAGUGAAAAUAGAAUGGGAAAUUUUUCAUAAGUGUUCCUUAAUUAAAUUAAUAAUUUUAUCUUCUUAAGGUUAAUCUGUUAACUUGAGUAGAACUCUCACCAACUAUGUCGAGUCUAAACAAAUUUAAAGCCAUAAGUCCAACAAAAAUCAUCUCACGUAACUUCAAUUCUAUCAUUCAAAUACUAUCUAUCUAAUAUGAAUACCUCCAAAAUCUAUUUACGAUUCAUGUAAACCAACAAAAACGGAAUCCCGAAGAUCCAAACCCUGCUUCAAAUCCCCUCUAAAGAAUCCGCCCCCAACGAAUCACCAAGAAACAAGAAGAAAUCGUGCAAUCCAAUUCUCCUAUCAAGAAACGACCAACUGAAUCAGAAAUAUAUGCGAAACAAUCGUAAUUCCCUGGCCUNNNN